AGAGUUUGAUCCUGGCUCAGAACGAACGCUGGCGGCGUGGAUAAGACAUGCAAGUCGAACGAGAGAAUUGCUAGCUUGCUAAUAAUUCUCUAGUGGCGCACGGGUGAGUAACACGUGAGUAACCUGCCCCCGAGAGCGGGAUAGCCCUGGGAAACUGGGAUUAAUACCGCAUAGUAUCGAAAGAUUAAAGCAGCAAUGCGCUUGGGGAUGGGCUCGCGGCCUAUUAGUUAGUUGGUGAGGUAACGGCUCACCAAGGCGAUGACGGGUAGCCGGUCUGAGAGGAUGUCCGGCCACACUGGAACUGAGACACGGUCCAGACACCUACGGGUGGCAGCAGUCGAGAAUCAUUCACAAUGGGGGAAACCCUGAUGGUGUGACGCCGCGUGGGGGAAUGAAGGUCUUCGGAUUGUAAACCCCUGUCAUGUGGGAGCAAAUUAAAAAGAUAGUACCACAAGAGGAAGAGACGGCUAACUCUGUGCCAGCAGCCGCGGUAAUACAGAGGUCUCAAGCGUUGUUCGGAAUCACUGGGCGUAAAGCGUGCGUAGGCUGUUUCGUAAGUCGUGUGUGAAAGGCGCGGGCUCAACCCGCGGACGGCACAUGAUACUGCGAGACUAGAGUAAUGGAGGGGGAACCGGAAUUCUCGGUGUAGCAGUGAAAUGCGUAGAUAUCGAGAGGAACACUCGUGGCGAAGGCGGGUUCCUGGACAUUAACUGACGCUGAGGCACGAAGGCCAGGGGAGCGAAAGGGAUUAGAUACCCCUGUAGUCCUGGCAGUAAACGGUGCACGCUUGGUGUGCGGGGAAUCGACCCCCUGCGUGCCGGAGCUAACGCGUUAAGCGUGCCGCCUGGGGAGUACGGUCGCAAGAUUAAAACUCAAAGAAAUUGACGGGGACCCGCACAAGCGGUGGAGUAUGUGGCUUAAUUCGAUGCAACGCGAAGAACCUUACCUGGGCUUGACAUGUAAUGAACAACAUGUGAAAGCAUGCGACUCUUCGGAGGCGUUACACAGGUGCUGCAUGGCCGUCGUCAGCUCGUGUCGUGAGAUGUUUGGUUAAGUCCAGCAACGAGCGCAACCCCUGUUGCCAGUUACCAGCACGUGAAGGUGGGGACUCUGGCGAGACUGCCCAGAUCAACUGGGAGGAAGGUGGGGACGACGUCAGGUCAGUAUGGCCCUUAUGCCCAGGGCUGCACACGUACUACAAUGCCCAGUACAGAGGGGGCCGAAGCCGCGAGGCGGAGGAAAUCCUGAAAACUGGGCCCAGUUCGGACUGUAGGCUGCAACCCGCCUACACGAAGCCGGAAUCGCUAGUAAUGGCGCAUCAGCUACGGCGCCGUGAAUACGUUCCCGGGUCUUGUACAAAGCGCCCGUCA
rnacentral:rRNA from 1 species